CGGUAAUUCCAGCUCCAAUAGCGUAUACUAAAGUUGUUGCAGUUAAAAAGCUCAUAAUUGGAUUUCUGCGGGGACGGAACGGCCGGACACAACUUGCGUCUCAAACUAGCGCUUUCCCCGCAUCCUGCCGCGAACCAUGCUACCAUUAGUUUGAUGGCGCUGGGGAUCGGCUCGAUUACUUUGAGAAAAAUAGAGUGUUCAAAGCAGGCCACACGCCUUGAAUAAGUUAGCACGGAAUAAUGACUAAGGACUUCGGUUCUAUUUUGUUGGUGUUCGGGACUGAAGUAAUGAUUAAUAAGGACAGUUGAAGCGGUCUGUAUUCCAAAGCGAGAGGUGAAAUUCUUAGACCUUCAGAAGACAAACAGCUGCAAAAGCGUUCCGCAAGGAUGUUCCCUUUGAUCAAGAACGAAAGUUAAAAAAUCGAAGACAAUCAGAUACCGUCGUAGUCUCAACUAUAAACUAUACCAGCUAGGGAUCGGUCAACGUUUAAUUAUUCGACUUGAUCAGCACCUUAUGAGAAAUCAAAGCAUCUGGGUUCCAAAAAAAAUAUGGUCGCAAGGCUGAAACUUAAAGGAAUUGACGGAAGAGCACCACCAACCGUGGAGCCUGUAGCUUAAUUUGACUCAACACGGGAAAACUUACCAGGUCCAGACAUAGUAAGGAUUGACAGAUUGAUAGCUCUUUCUUGAUUCUGUGGGUGGCGGUGCAUGGCCGUUCUUAGUUGGUGGAGUGAUUUGUCUGGUUAAUUCCGUUAACGAACGAGACCCCAGCCUGCUAAAUAGCGCGGCUGAGCUUUGCUCGGUACGAGCUUCUUAGAGGGACUAUGAUACGCGAUAGCACAUGGAAGUUUGGGGCAAUAACAGGUCUGUGAUGCCCUUAGAUGUUCUGGGCCGCACACGGGCUACACUGGCGCCUGCAACGAGCAUAUCAGCUAGCCCGAGAGGGUCUUGGCUAAUCUUUUGAACCAACGCCGUGCUUGGGAUUGACCUUUGCAAUUGUUGGUCAUGCAACGAAGAAUGCCUUGUAAACGCGAGUCAUCAGCUCGCAUUGAAUACGUCCCUGCCCUUUGUACACACCGCCCGUCGCUCCUACCGAUGAAUGUUCCGAUGAAAUUUUCGGAGAGCGCCAGAGAACGGGGCUCUGCCUUGCAGAUCUAAAAACUCAAAGUCACUUAAAUCUGAACAUUUCGAGGAAGGAGAAGUCGUAACAAGGUAACC
rnacentral:rRNA from 1 species